AAAUUAUGUGGGGAACCGCAGAAGUCCAUUGAUGCAUGUGGGGAGCUGCAGCGGGCCAGCGACGUAACGAGGUUCCCACGUCACUUCCAUUAUCAAAGAAGAGCGCCAAGAAGAUCUUUUUUUUUUGUAUCUUUUGUAUCUCCAGAGUAUUAUGUUUGCCAUGAUUUCUCUAGUGCUUGGGUGGAAGAAUAGGAAGUACAAUACAAUGCCCGUAUGUACUGAUGUUUAUUGACUGAAUGACUGCAGGUUACAAUAAAAAAAUUCAGAUAAAAGUCCAACUGGGACCAAAAGAUCACUUUCAGAAGCUAGUGGUAGCUCAAGAGCAAAAAAGGCUGCCAAAUUGAUUAAUGCCAAGAACCUAAAAAUGCUGGACAGAAGAACCGUUGUGAAGAAUAAAGAGUGGUGGAUCAUCUUCUCUCUGGUACCUGAUGUGCUAGAUGUAAAAGAGACCAUAAUCAGCGAAGGUAGCAGUCUGUGUAGGAACGAUGCGUGGCGAGCAGAUUUUUUCUUUCGAGUAUUGUGAGCCACUAAGCCAGCGAAGAGUGCCCACUAGCUGUUCAUCGAAAUUCCCCUGCGAUGCGUACUGCGUACGGAGCAUUUCUAUUUCGGAUUUUUAUAGCUUGGUCAUGACAUUACCUGUGUCUUGAUUGUAUUGUCCAGUUCAGGUACUAGACUUUAUGCGGAUUUAAUAGUCCAGAAAUGAAAACUAACAGUCAACGGUGUUGUUGCUAACAAAA